GUAGCAGAGCAGCUCCCUCGCUG
rnacentral:piRNA from 2 species